CAUGAGAUAUAUUAUCUAUAGCCGUCAAAACGUAGAUAAUGUACUCGCAUGGAAAAUUAUCCUGAACCGGGUUGUAGGUUGUUUAUAGGAUAAAAUCCAAAAUCGUGAAUUGGUUUGUGUUCCAAAACACUCAUCAUCCUGAAGAAAGCUAGAACAGCAGACUUGUUUAUAGGACGGAUAUUCGAUUCCACAAGGAAUACGAAACUUAC
rnacentral:lncRNA from 1 species